rnacentral:siRNA from 1 species
AGGCACUACUUACGAGAUAACUAA